rnacentral:rRNA from 1 species
UGAACGCUGGCGGCGUGCCUAAUACAUGCAAGUCGAGCGAACGGACGAGAAGCUUGCUUUUCUGAUGUUAGCGGCGGACGGGUGAGUAACACGUGGAUAACCUACCUAUAAGACUGGGAUAACUUCGGGAAACCGGAGCUAAUACCGGAUAAUAUUUUGAACCGCAUGGUUCAAAAGUGAAAGACGGUCUUGCUGUCACUUAUAGAUGGAUCCGCGCUGCAUUAGCUAGUUGGUAAGGUAACGGCUUACCAAGGCAACGAUGCAUAGCCGACCUGAGAGGGUGAUCGGCCACACUGGAACUGAGACACGGUCCAGACCCCUACGGGAGGCAGCAGUAGGGAAUCUUCCGCAAUGGGCGAAAGCCUGACGGAGCAACGCCGCGUGAGUGAUGAAGGUCUUCGGAUCGUAAAACUCUGUUAUUAGGGAAGAACAUAUGUGUAAGUAACUGUGCACAUCUUGACGGUACCUAAUCAGAAAGCCACGGCUAACUACGUG